AACGAACGCUGGCGGCAUGCCUAACACAUGCCAGUCGAACGAUAGCCUUCGGGUGAUAGUGGCGCACGGGUGCGUAACGCGUGGGAAUCUGCCCUUAGGUUCGGAAUAACAGCUGGAAACGGCUGCUAAUACCGGAUGAUAUCGCGAGAUCAAAGAUUUAUCGCCUGAGGAUGAGCCCGCGUUGGAUUAGGUAGUUGGUGGGGUAAAGGCCUACCAAGCCGACGAUCCAUAGCUGGUCUGAGAGGAUGAUCAGCCACACUGGGACUGAGACACGGCCCAGACUCCUACGGGAGGCAGCAGUGGGGAAUAUUGGACAAUGGGCGCAAGCCUGAUCCAGCAAUGCCGCGUGAGUGAUGAAGGCCCUAGGGUUGUAAAGCUCUUUUACCCGGGAAGAUAAUGACUGUACCGGGAGAAUAAGCCCCGGCUAACUCCGUG
rnacentral:rRNA from 1 species